rnacentral:rRNA from 1 species
GAGACACGGCCCAGACUCCUACGGGAGGCAGCAGUGGGGAAUCUUGCGCAAUGGGCGAAAGCCUGACGCAGCGACGCCGCGUGGGGGAUGAAGGCCUUCGGGUUGUAAACCUCUUUCAGCAGGGAAGAAGCGAGAGUGACGGUACCUGCAGAAGAAGCACCGGCUAACUACGUGCCAGCAGCCGCGGUAAUACGUAGGGUGCAAGCGUUGUCCGGAAUUAUUGGGCGUAAAGAGCUCGUAGGUGGCGGGUCACGUCGGGUGUGAAAGCCCGGGGCUUAACCCCGGGUCUGCAUUCGAUACGGGCUUGCUAGGGUCCGGCAGGGGAGACUGGAAUUCCUGGUGUAGCGGUGAAAUGCGCAGAUAUCAGGAGGAACACCGGUGGCGAAGGCGGGUCUCUGGGCCGGUACCGACGCUGAGGAGCGAAAGCGUGGGGAGCGAACAGGAUUAGAUACCCUGGUAGUCCACGCCGUAAACGUUGGGCGCUAGGUGUGGGGAGCAUUCCACGUUCUCUGUGCCGUAGCUAACGCAUUAAGCGCCCCGCCUGGGGAGUACGG